rnacentral:ncRNA from 2 species
GUCGUGAGACAGUUCGGUCCCUAUCCGUCGUGGGCGUUGGAAGUUUGAGAGGAGCUGUCCUUAGUACGAGAGGACCGGGAUGGACACACCGCUGGUGUACCAGUUGUUCCGCCAGGAGCAUCGCUGGGUAGCUACGUGUGGAAGGGAUAAGUGCUGAAAGCAUCUAAGCAUGAAGCCCCCCUCAAGAUGAGACUUCCCAUCUAUUCGAUAGAGUAAGAUCCCUCAGAGACGAUGAGGUAGAUAGGUUCGAGGUGGAAGCAUGGUGACAUGUGCAGCUGACGAAUACUAAUCGAUCGAGGACUUAUCUAU